rnacentral:sRNA from 1 species
AUCAAAUCCGUCCGGUGAAACGCUAGCCUUAGACGUCAGCGUCCUACACAAUCUCGUGCCGAUCUGAAACUAGACGAAACCACGAUCUCAGUUACAAUCCCCGCUGGUCCUAAUUUGCGUAUGAGAAAACGUGUCUCACAAAACCGCGAAUAACUCAACCAUUUUUAAUCCAAAUCCACUUCUGUAAACUGGAGAAUAACGAUACAAGACUUGGGAAUAACUCUACCAAAUUUCGUUACCUUUGACAACGAUUUGAUAUGUCGAAAUCGUUUUCUCCCAAACCCUAACGAUUCUGGUUCUUCUCCUUCUCUCUCUUUUUCUCCUUUAUAAAACGAAAAGUGGCUAACUAAAGCCCUAAUUUUGAGUUUUCUUUUUUUAUAGGCACACUCUAGAGUUUCCAAUUAAUCCAACCGAUUAAACCGGACGAUUUAAAUACAAAUCCUAACCGAUAUUCCGGUUCACGGGCGUUACAAUUCUCCCCCACUAACAUAGAUUCGUCCUCGAAUCUAGCUUCACCCUUCCACUCCAAUAAACUCCGUGCAACCAUCACUACGGUCUGCACACCCUCCAACAAGACCCCCUCUAGGUCUCUCUAUCCAGUCAGUAUACUCAGAUUUACUAGUCAUUAUUGCUCACAACUCACUCUCCACUCUCAAACCGCAAUCUUCGAGCAUAAACUGUCACUCUCAGGCCUCGGCCUACGGCAUCUCGGGUAUCACACGUAUUAUCUUCCCCACUCAAAGUCAAACCCUGAGUUGUGUCGGCUCACUCUCAACCACAAAGUCAUCGAGUUACGAUAAAGCGUGCUCUCGGAUCGUCAUCCGAAGCCACCGUACCCCUCACACUCUAAAGACACCAAGUCUCUCGAGUUACCGGUACCUCAGGAGCAUACCCCGCUCCUCACAAGUUGUUGGGACCCUCAUGUCCCUCGAGCAACAAUACUAAACGCUUCCGAGCAUAUCUCCAGACUCUCUCAUGGAUUCGCGUAAGACACCUUUAUGCCUCACCAUCCAUCAUAUCCCCUUGGGAACAUCCUUAUGACCAACUCUCGGCCAUCUCGUAAACACACCUCUCUCUAAGGUUGUUUACUCAAACUUUCCAAAAAUAGACAAGUCCUUUUUGGGAAACUUUCCAUUCUUGGAAACCGCACAACACAUUCUUUAACAACACAACUCAAGUCAAAUAUAAUAAAAAAAUACUUAUCUUAUAAAUCAUCAAAUGUCAUGAUCGUUACAACGCCAAACUAAAGAGAAAUAAGAACAACAACUCAAAAGCUCAAAAACUCAACAACACUAAAACUGGAAACCAAGGAUAGGCAAACUCAUGCAGCAACCUGCUUCUCAAACCACUUCUUGAACCUUGCCUUCAUCCUCGCCUCUGGCUCCCAAGUCUCCUCUGUCACACCAUCGCAGUCCCAUAGGACUUUGAUCAAAGGAAUCUUUUUCCGUCAAAGUUCCUUGAUCCUCCUCUCGAGAACCCUCACUGGUCUCGCCUCCAAAGUCAUGUUUGGAUGAAAAUCCUCUGGAAUCUUAGCCAACACCUCAUCAUCCUUGUGAAGAAAUUUCCUCAGCAUCGACACAUGAAAGACCUUGUGAAACGCACGCAUAACAUCUGGCAACUCUAACUUGUAUGCCACUGGUCCUACCCUGUCAACAAUCCUGAACGGACCCAUGUACCUCGGACUCAACUUAGUCUCUGAGAUAGACCUGUUUGGACCUCACAACAUGACUAUCUUGAGAUACACUCUGUCCCCAACCUCAAAGUCAAGCUCUCUCCUCCUCUUGUCAACAUAACUCUGCUGUCGAUCUUGAGCUUCCUUCAUGUUCAGCUUAAGAACCCGGAUCCUCUCCGUGAUCUCCUGAACAUAAUCUGUACCAUAUAUGCUCCUCUUCCCCACGUGGGUCCAGCAUAACGGUGUCCUGCAUGGCCUCCCGUACAACGCCUCAAAAGGAGCCAUCCCAAUACUCGCCUGAUAGCUGUUGUUAUAAGCAAACUCUACCAGACUCAAGUGAUCCGCCCAAUGACCUCCCCAAUCCAAGACACACAUCCACAACAUAUCCUCAAGCGUCUGGAUAGUCCUCUCAGAUUGCCCAUCUGUCUGAGGAUGAUAAGCCGUGCUCAUCUCCACCUUAGUGCCCAUCUCUGCCUAAAAGGCUCUCCAAAACGCAGAAGUAAACUUGGAAUCCCUGUCUGAUACAAUACUCACAGAUACUCAAUGCAACUUCACGAUCUCGCUCACAUAUUUUUUAGCCAACACCGCCGCUCCAUUAGUUUUUCUGAUGGCCAGAAAAUGUGCUGACUUAGUCAGACGGUCCACGAUCACCCAAAUAACAUGUUUGGUUCGCGACACAGGCAACCCAGCCACGAAAUCCAUCAUGAUAAAAUCCCACUUCCACUCAGGAAUGGGUAAAUUCUGCAACAGGCCACCUGGCACCUGAUGCUCAGCCUUAACUAACUGGCAAACAUCGCACUCUACGACCCAAUUAGCUACAUCCCUCUUCAUCGCGACCCACUGAUAGUACCGCUUGAGGUCCCGGUACAUCUUAGUCGCUCCUGGAGAAUGGAAAACAUGCUCGCAUGAGCCUCACUCAAGAUUUCCCAUCGCAACUCCUCAUCCUUAGGCACACAAACUCGCCCAUGCACAAGGAUAGUCCCAUUAGCUGCGAACUAAUACUCAGAGCCCUCUGCCUUAGAAGCCGCAAUCAACCCCUCAUCCUUCUCCUGAGCCAACCGAACUCUACUCAAAAAAUCUGCUCGAUCCACAACUUCCAAUCCCAAUGGCUCCCGUGCCACAACACACAACCGCAAAGCACCAAUCUCACUCACCAAGGCCUCAACACUCUGCCCUGGAGCCGCACCCACAUGCUUACGGCUCAACGCCUCUACAACCACAUUAGCCUUACAAGGAUGGUAGGCUAUCUCCAGAUCAUAAUCAACCACCAAUUCCAUCCAUCGCCUCUGCCUCAGGUUCAGCUGGCUAAGUGAAGAUAUACUUCAAACUCUUAUGAUCCGUGAACACCUGCACUUUCCCGCCAUAAAGAUAAGACCUCCAAAUCUUUAAGGCAAAGAUCACCGCAACCAUCUCCAAAUCAUGAGUAGGAUAGUUGUCCUCAUGCUUCCUCAACUGCCGCGAUGCAUAGGCAAUAACCUUUCCACCCUGCAUCAAAACACAACCCAAACCAACUCUUGAGGUAUCAGUAUACACCAUGUAAGGCUCUCCAUGCUCUGACAAUGCUAACACUGGUGUACCGAUCAACAUCUCCUUCAGGCUCACGAAACCCUCUUCGCACUCCGGUUACCACACAAAAGGAACAUCCUUCCCUGUCAGCGUAGUCAUCUGUUGUGUCAUACUCGCAAACCCCUUGACGAACCUCUUGUAAUACCCUGCCAACCCAAGAAAACUCCUGAUCUCAGUGGCAUUCGUCGGUCUAGGCCAGUCUCUGAUAACCUCAAUCUUCUCCGGAUCCACUGAAACUCCUUCUACAGAAAUAAUGUGACCCAGAAAACUCAUCUCUCUCUGCCAAAAACUGCACUUGCUCAACUUAGCGAACAGCUUCUGCUCCCGCAACUUCUCCAUCAACCUUAUGAACGUUGUAGGUGCAUUAGUCAAACCGAAAGGCAUCACCACAAACUCAAAAUAUCCAUAUCCCAUCAUGAAAGCAGUCUUGCGAACAUCUGCCUCCGCUAUCGGGAUAUGGUGAUAACCCGACGUCAAAUCGAUUUUUGAGAAACAAGUAGCACCCCUCAACUGAUCCAACAACUCAUCGAUCCUUGGCAAAGGGUACUUGUUCUUCACGGUGACCCGGUUCAACUCCUGGUAGUCAAUAUAUAAGCGGAAACUCUUGUCCUUCUUCUUCACAAAUAACACUGGCGCUCCCCAAGGUGAAGUACUAAGACGAAUGAAUCCCUUACCCAACAAAUCCUCUAGCUGCUUCUUCAGCUCUGCCAUCUCUGCUGGAGUCAUCCUCUAGGGUGCCUUAGACAACGGCGCUGUCCCUUGUUCCAACUCAAUCGUGAAAGGAUCAAACAGUGAUGGUGGUAAUCCCUGCAAUGAUUGAAACACAUCCUCGAACUCCUGAACAACCCAAAUGUCGCUCAGUGCAGCCUGCCCCACAGACUCCGACAUAGAUAUCGUCACCAGGUAAGCCUCGCAGCCCUUCUCGAUCAUUUUCUCUACCUGCACUGCUGAGAUGACGAGACUCCCUAAGGUAGGUCUCACUCCCUGAUAAACCAACCUCCCUUCUGGCCGCUCAAAAGAAACUCUCCCACGGUGGCAAUCAAGAUGUACUCUGUAAUGAUCCAACCAAUCCAUUCCCAAAAUAACAUCAUAGAACUCUACAUGGCUGAUAAUCAUAUCUGCUGGCAUCGACUCUCUUGCAAUUUGAAUAUCCACACCCUUAGCUCUCCCUAGAACCGUUAGAAACUGCCCUCUAGCAACCUUGACGGCUCCAAACUGCUCACCAAGAUCCCCACGGAUGUUGCCGCGCGAGGCACUCUCCGGAGUAAUGAAGCAAUGCGAUGCUCCAGAGUCAAACAAAACAUGGGCCUCUACAUCGCCCACUAAUAAGGUCCCUACACAAACCUCAUGUGCUAAGAACCCUAACAUUCAUCACAAAACAAUGAUAUCUAAAA